rnacentral:rRNA from 1 species
UACAUGGGGUGCAAACGUUGCUCGGAAUUAUUGGGCGUAAAGCGCGCGUAGGCGGUUACUCAAGUCGGAUGUGAAAGCCCUCGGCUUAACUGAGGAAGUGCACCCGAAACUGAGUAGCUAGAGUACCAAAGAGGGUCGCGGAAUUCCCGGUGUAGAGGUGAAAUUCGUAGAUAUCGGGAGGAACACCGAUGGCGAAGGCAGCCCCCUGGGUCAACACUGACGCUCAUGCACGAAAGCGUGGGGAGCAAACAGG